rnacentral:rRNA from 1 species
AACAUCUAAGUACCCCGAGGAAAAGAAAUCAACCGAGAUUCCGAAAGUAGCGGCGAGCGAAAUUGGACUAGCCCUUAAGCUUUACACGCGUUAGACGAACGGUCUGGAAAGUCCGACGAUACAGGGUGAUAGUCCCGUAGUUGACGACGUGUGUUCAGUGAAAUCGAGUAGGGCGGGACACGUGAUAUCCUGUCUGAAUAUGGGGGGACCAUCCUCCAAGGCUAAAUACUACUGACUGACCGAUAGUGAACCAGUACCGUGAGGGAAAGGCGAAAAGAACCCCUGUGAGGGGAGUGAAAUAGAACCUGAAACCGUGUACGUACAAGCAGUAGGAGCACCUUCGUGGUGUGACUGCGUACCUUUUGUAUAAUGGGUCAGCGACUUAUAUUCAGUGGCAAGGUUAACCAUCUAGGGGAGCCGUAGGGAAACCGAGUCUUAACUGGGCGUUCAGUCUCUGGAUAUAGACCCGAAACCAGGUGAUCUAGCCAUGGGCAGGUUGAAGGUUGAGUAACAUCAACUGGAGGACCGAACCGACUAAUGUUGAAAAAUUAGCGGAUGACUUGUGGCUAGGGGUGAAAGGCCAAUCAAACCUGGAGAUAGCUGGUUCUCCCCGAAAGCUAUUUAGGUAGCGCCUCGGACGAAUACUACUGGGGGUAGAGCACUGUUAAGGCUAGGGGGUCAUCCCGACUUACCAACCCUUUGCAAACUCCGAAUACCAGUAAGUACUAUCCGGGAGACACACGGCGGGUGCUAACGUCCGUCGUGGAGAGGGAAACAACCCAGACCGCCAGCUAAGGUCCCAAAUUACUACUAAGUGGGAAACGAUGUGGGAAGGCUCAGACAGCCAGGAUGUUGGCUUAGAAGCAGCCAUCAUUUAAAGAAAGCGUAAUAGCUCACUGGUCGAGUCGGCCUGCGCGGAAGAUGUAACGGGGCUAAGUA